UCAUAAUCUCUGCUCACCGACUUUGUAUCCUAUUAAUUCUAGAAUAUAAAAAUAUAUACAUGUUCAUCAUGUUUGCUUUAUUCAUCUUUCUAGGGCCUGGAUUACUUACAAGAACUGAAUGUGAUACAUCAUGAUCUCAAGGGCGCCAAUAUAAUGUUAACUUCUACGGCCCGUGUGAAGAUAAUUGAUUUUGGCCUUGCCACAAUAGGGCCCAUCAGUACAAGUAAUGCAGGAACCCGCUGUUGGAUGGCACCUGAAGUCCAUGCAUGUUUUACAGGAAGUGUACAUUAUAACUACAAGGUGGAUGUGUGGUCUUUAGGAAUCACAGCCAUAGAAAUGGCAGAAUACAAUCCUCGUAAGUAAUCUUAAAUAACAUUUUUUGUGCGUUUAUGUUCAUUUAUGGAGGAGUGUUUUAAGGAAGGUCAGGGGGUAUCACCCAUUCUGUAUGUCCAAUAUCUGUCUGUUCCAUCCAGACUGCAUUUAUUUACUUGUUAUGUAUGAAAGAAGGAAAUUCUAUCUCUUAAUCUCAAAAAGUUAAAAUAAAUCAUCGGUUGGUUCUGAUAAUGAUAAUUUAAUUAUUUGAUGUAGUCACCCCUCUACCGUACAAUGCUGCAAAAUAUGUUGGCGCCUUCUAAAUUUGUAAGAAUAACAAUAAUAAUAUUGUGUUCUCUUACACUUACAGCACACAUUAAACUCCGUGGUGCGGAGCUUUCCGAAAGGAUUAUGAAUGGUCCAGCUCCAGCUCUA